AAACUUUCAACAAUGGAUCUCUUGGUUCCGGCAUCGAUGAAGAACGCACCGAAAUGCGAUAAUUAAUGUGAAUUGCAGAAUUCAGUGAAUCAUCGAGUCUUUGAACGCACAUUGCACCCCCUGGUAUUCCGGGGGGUAUGCCUGUCCGAGCGUCAUU
rnacentral:rRNA from 1 species